GACGAACCGUGCGAACGUUAUUCGGAAUCACUGGGCUUAAAGCGCGUGUAGGCGGGGUGGCACGUCCGUCGCUGAAAUCCCCCGGCUCAACCGGGGAACGGGCGCGGAUACGACCAUCCUCGAGGGACGUAGGGGGACCUGGAACUUCCGGUGGAGCGGUGAAAUGCGCAGAUAUCAGGAGGAACACCAAUGGCGAAGGCAGCUCGCUGGGACGGUACUGACACUGAGACGCGAAAGCGUGGGGAGCAAACAGG
rnacentral:rRNA from 1 species